GUACCAGACUCCUACGGGAGGCAGCAGUGGGGAAUAUUGCACAAUGGGGGAAACCCUGAUGCAGCGACGCCGCGUGAGUGAAGAAGUAUUUCGGUCCGUAAAGCUCUAUCAGCAGGGAAGAAAAAAAGUCCUUGGACUUUGGACGGUACCUGACUAAGAAGCCCCGGCUAACUACGUGCCAGCAGCCGCGGUAAUACGUAGGGGGCAAGCGUUAUCCGGAUUUACUGGGUGUAAAGGGAGCGUAGACGGCAGCGCAAGUCUGGAGUGAAAUGCCGGGGCCCAACCCCGGAACUGCUUUGGAAACUGUGCAGCUGGAGUGCAGGAGAGGGAAGCGGAAUUCCUAGUGUAGCGGUGAAAUGCGUAGAUAUUAGGAGGAACACCAGUGGCGAAGGUGGCUUACUGGACUGUAACUGACGUUGAGGCUCGAAAGCGUGGGGGGCAAACAGGAUUAGAUACCCCGGUAACC
rnacentral:rRNA from 1 species